AAUUUAAUUUUAUAUGUGUGUUUCUUUUGUAAUCAUAAUUUUUGGUAACUAUAUUAAAUAUGUCAAGUUGCAUAACUUUACAAUUGUAUCAUAUGCAUUUCAAAAAUUAUUUUUAAACUUUAUUCUUAAAGUCUGCAACAUAUUAUAUUUUCUUAGUAGUUACCUAACAUAAUUAAUCAAAAAUAUUCCUACCCAAAAAACACAACUUGGAAUCGGCCCGAAAAUCAAAGUCUCAUACUCUAUUAGACCUGGCCUAUAUACUAAAACAGUUUUUAAGUUAUAUCUGAAAACUAAUAUCAAAUUCAAUCCGCAC
rnacentral:lncRNA from 1 species